ensembl:lncRNA
UUUAUAUCCUUGUAUCAUGAUGGUGCAGCAAACAGAUGGUCCUGUUGUAAAUUAGCGUAUGACAAUUAGUAAAUUAGUUUAUGUACAAUUAGAAUUUUGAGCAACCAUUAAUCCUGUAUAAUAUCAAGGAAAUAAGAUUUUGCCAUUAUUUAAAAUAUUUUGCAGAAGCUUUACAAUGUAAGAAUGAAAGAUUGAACACAUCAUUUCAUAUGUAGAUAUUUAUAAAUUGUAAAGCAUAUUUUAAAAUGUUGUUGGUUUACACACUUACACGUACAGAUCCAACAUUUGAAACCUGCUAUAUAUGUUUUACAUAAUUUUAAAUCUACAUGUUUGUAAUUUGUCCAUGAUUGUGCCACUCACAGGUGGUCCUGUUGUAAAUUUGUGUAUGUUUAUUCAAACAAAUACCACACAGAUGCCUAAAAAUGCAGCAUCUGUUUUUAACAAAAUAAAAUGUGUUUCAGAAGGAAUAAUUUUUCCUUUUAAAAUGUUUGAGCAGAAAAGAUUUUAAAUUGCUGCAGAGCCACAGCUGUUGUGAAUGCAAAGCAAUCAGUUGGGGCAUAUAGAGGGCAGCCCGUCCUCAUACAAGAGCAGUAUCACCAGUCUGUUAAGGACAAGUCGCUGCUUUCAGAUUGAAAGAUAUCUUACAGUUGACUUUCAUUUGGGUGUGUUGACAAUGACCUCUGGAAAAGCAGGCUUUGGUGGAGGGAAAAGCAAAAUAUUUCCAACAAAUUCUGUUGCUGAGGUUAAUCUUCGCAGACAAGUCUGGUUCUGUGAUUUCCAGCAGAAGUUCACAGACAGACACCUUUUGCAGUAUGGUUUCCAUGGGAACAGGAGGAAAUAAUUUUCUUGGCCAGCUGUAUUGAAAUGAACAUCUGUAUGCUGUAUGUUGUCAUUACCUUUCAGGUGAUUUGCGCAUUAGAGGUUUCAGCUCAUGUUCAGCAAGCAUCUUCUAAACUAUAAUUCGCCCUUCUUUUCUCUAAUGCUGUCAUGUUGUAUUUGAAUAUGCUUUAUUCUCUGUGUAUGUAUACUUUUAUUCAUAUUUUAUUGGCAUCAAAUGAAUCUAUUUUAAAUAAAUGCUGUUCUUUUGAACAAGUAUUUAUAUUAAAAUAUAAACCAGUGCAACUGUUUUCAACAUUUAUAAUAAUAAUUGUGCUGUAUUUUAUGUAUAAUUUUUUAUUAAUUUUAAUACAUUUUAAAUGUUUUUAAAAUUACUUUUAAUAAUUUUUUAUUUGCUUUUAUUAUUUUAUUUCUUAUACUACUUUUAUUUCUAAUGUAUUUUGUUUUUUAAAUUAUUAUUUUCAUGUGCAGCACUUUGAAUUACCAUUGUGUAUAAAUUGUACUAUAUAAAUAAAUUUCCCUUGCCUUAAUAAUAAUAAUAAUAAUGUUUCUUGAGCACCAUAUUAGCAUAUUUGGCUGAUUUCUGAAGGAUGUAAUGGCUGCUGAAAAUUCAGCUUUGUCAUCACAGGAAUAAAUUUAAAAUUAUAGAUUUUAAAAUAGAAAUGUUUAUUUAUUUGUUUAUUUUUAAUUGUAGUAAUAUUUCACAAUAUUCUUUUUACAUUAAAAAUAGAAAACAUUAAAUUUAAAAUCUAUGGUGCAGCAAUUCAGUCUCUUUAUAUUACCAGAUAACGGUGUCAAGGUAUCAUUCUCUUCUGAAUCAGUGUAAAAUUCCCUAGAGAUGGGAUGACUGUCAUUAGGGCACAAGUUAAACAUCUUUAGAUGGCUGCACGCUACUUUCUUCCAUGUGCAAGGUUUCAAUCAAACUUGCUAUUUGAUUAUCAAAACUUUCAAAGCACUUUUGAUUUGUCUUAAGCUGCAGGAAAUUCAAGGGGACAUCUGGAAGGAUGUCUGCAGAUUAUUUGCAAU